CCUACGGGACGCAGCAGUCGGGAAUAUUGCGCAAUGGAGGAAACUCUGACGCAGUGACGCCGCGUGCAGGAAGAAGGUUUUCGGAUUGUAAACUGCUUUAGAUAGGGAAGAAAAAAAUGACAGUACCUAUAGAAUAAGCUCCGGCUAACUACGUGCCAGCAGCCGCGGUAAUACGUAGGGAGCGGGCGUUAUCCGGAUUUAUUGGGGUUAAAGGGUGCGCAGGCGGAAUGUCAAGUCAGCGGUCAAAUUUCGGGGCUCAACCCCGUCGUGCCGUUGAAACUGGCGUUCUUGGGUGA
rnacentral:rRNA from 1 species